UGGAGAUCAGGGCCCACCGCCUGUGAUUCCGGCUUCUCUGUCCUCAGUCCAGGAUCAGGACAAGCUAAGAUCCUUCUGAAUUGAGGGAGGGGAAUGUCACAAAAGCAUCAGAAGAACACUAGCCUCCCAGAGGCCUGAUGGGAUUUCCUGCACCGGGAAGACCUCAAAAGAGAAAGAGCCUCAUUGUUCAGAGCCAGCAGCUCUGGACUGUUCUCCUCAGAACUUCUAAUCGCAGAAUGAGGUCAAUGAAUGCAGCAUUCAUUGGGAUUGGCAGACACUUCAGCAGCCACACGAAAGAGCCAGCAACUGACUCCUGAUUUUGGCUCAGGUCAUGAUCUCAGGGUUGUGGGAUCGAGCCCCACAUGGGGCUCCCAGCUCAGGACAGAGUCUUC
rnacentral:lncRNA from 1 species